rnacentral:rRNA from 1 species
UACAGAGGGUGCGAGCGUUGUUCGGAAUUAUUGGGCGUAAAGGGCGCGUAGGCGGCGCCACAAGUCACUUGUGAAAACUCUGGGCUCAACUCAGAGCCUGCAAGCGAAACUGUGGUGCUGGAGUAUGGGAGAGGUGCGUGGAAUUCCCAGUGUAGCGGUGAAAUGCGUAGAUAUUGGGAGGAACACCAGUGGCGAAGGCGGCUCACUGGACCGGUUCUGACGCUGAUGCGCGAAAGCGUGGGGAGCAAACGGG